rnacentral:rRNA from 1 species
UGGGGAAUAUUGGACAAUGGGCGAAAGCCUGAUCCAGCCAUGCCGCGUGUGUGAAGAAGGUCUUCGGAUUGUAAAGCACUUUAAGUUGGGAGGAAGGGCAUUAACCUAAUACGUUAGUGUUUUGACGUUACCGACAGAAUAAGCACCGGCUAACUCUGUGCCAGCAGCCGCGGUAAUGCAGAGGGUGCAAGCGUUAAUCGGAAUUACUGGGCGUAAAGCGCGCGUAGGUGGUUUGUUAAGUUGGAUGUGAAAUCCCCGGGCUCAACCUGGGAACUGCAUUCAAAACUGACUGACUAGAGUAUGGUAGAGGGUGGUGGAAUUUCCUGUGUAGCGGUGAAAUGCGUAGAUAUAGGAAGGAACACCAGUGGCGAAGGCGACCACCUGGACUAAUACUGACACUGAGGUGCGAAAGCGUGGGGAGCAAACA